rnacentral:piRNA from 1 species
UGGAAUAUUAAUUUUAUAAAU